rnacentral:rRNA from 1 species
CUCCUACGGGAGGCAGCAGUGGGGAAUUUUGCGCAAUGGACGAAAGUCUGACGCAGCAACGCCGCGUGGAGGAUGAAGGUCUUCGGAUUGUAAACUUCUGUUAAUUGGAAAGAAAAGGCAAGAAUUAAUACCUCUUGCAUAUGACGUUACCGGUUUAGAAAGCCCCGGCUAACUUCGUGCCAGCAGCCGCGGUAAUACGAAGGGGGCGAGCGUUAUUCGGAUUCAUUGGGCGUAAAGGGCGCGUAGGCGGCGCAAUAAGUUUGUUGUUUAAUUUUCCGGCCUAACCGGAAGCAUGCGACAAAGACUGUUGUGCUAGAGUGUGAUAGAGAAAAGUGGAAUUCUCGGAGUAGCGGUAAAAUGCGUAGAUCUCGAGAGGAACGCCAAUGGCGAAGGCAGCUUUUUGGAUCAAUACUGACGCUGAUGCGCGAAGGCAUGGGGAGCAAACAGGAUUAGAUACCCUGGUAGUCCAUGCAGUAAACGAUGGCCAUUAGACGUCUGGAAAAUUGUUUCUGGGUGUCGCAGCUAACGCGUUAAAUGGCCCGCCUGAGUAGUACGAUCGCAAGAUUAAAACUUAAAGAAAUUGACGGGGGUCCGCACAAGCGGUGGAACAUGUGGUUUAAUUCGAUACUACGCGAGGAACCUUACCUAGAUUUGACAUGUAUAUGGCAUCCAUGGAAACAUGGCCUUCAUAGGGAAACCUAUGACAUAUACACAGGUGUUGCAUGGCUGUCGUCAGCUCGUGUCGUGAGAUGUUAGG